rnacentral:rRNA from 1 species
GAUGAACGCUGGCGGCGUGCCUAAUACAUGCAAGUCGAGCGAACAGACGAGGAGCUUGCUCCUCUGACGUUAGCGGCGGACGGGUGAGUAACACGUGGAUAACCUACCUAUAAGACUGGGAUAACUUCGGGAAACCGGAUCUAAUACCGGAUAAGAUAUUGAACCGCAGGGUUCAAUAGUGAAAGACGGUUUUGCUGUCACUAAUAGAUGGAUCCGCGCCGCAUUAGCUAGUUGGUAAGGUAACGGCUUACCAAGGCAACGAUGCGUAGCCGACCUGAGAGGGUGAUCGGCCACACUGGAACUGAGACACGGUCCAGACUCCUACGGGAGGCAGCAGUAGGGAAUCUUCCGCAAUGGGCGAAAGCCUGACGGAGCAACGCCGCGUGAGUGAUGAAGGUCUUCGGAUCGUAAAACUCUGUUAUUAGGGAAGAACAAAUGUGUAAGUAACUAUGCACGUCUUGACGGUACCUAAUCAGAAAGCCACGGCUAACUACGUG